AGUGAACGCUGGCGGUAGGCCUAACACAUGCAAGUCGAACGGCAGCACAGUAAGAGCUUGCUCUUACGGGUGGCGAGUGGCGGACGGGUGAGGUAUACAUCGGAAUCUACUUUUUCGUGGGGGAUAACGUAGGGAAACUUACGCUAAUACCGCAUACGACCUACGGGUGAAAGCAGGGGAUCUUCGGACCUUGCGCGAUUGAAUGAGCCGAUGUCGGUUUAGCUAGUUGGCGGGGUAAAGGCCCACCAAGGCGACGAUCCGUAGCUGGUCUGAGAGGAUGAUCAGCCACACUGGAACUGAGACACGGUCCAGACUCCUACGGGAGGCAGCAGUGGGGAAUAUUGGACAAUGGGCGCAAGCCUGAUCCAGCCAUACCGCGUGGGUGAAGAAGGCCUUCGGGUUGUAAAGCCCUUUUGUUGGGAAAGAAAAGCAGCAGGUUAAUACCCCGCUGUUCUGACGGUACCCAAAGAAUAAGCACCGGCUAACUUCGUG
rnacentral:rRNA from 1 species